rnacentral:rRNA from 1 species
GUAGGUGGCAAGCGUUGUCCGGAAUUAUUGGGCGUAAAGCGCGCGCAGGUGGUUCGUUUAAGUCUGAUGUGAAAGACCCCCGGGCUCAACCCGGGGAGGGUCAUUGGAAACUGGGGAACUUGAGUGCAGGAGAGGAAAGUGGAAUUCCACGUGUAGCGGUGAAAUGCGUAGAUAUGUGGAGGAACACCAGUGGCGAAGGCGACUUUCUGGCCUGUAACUGACACUGAGGCGCGAAAGCGUGGGGAGCAAACAGGAUUAGAUACCCUGGUAGUCCACGCCGUAAACGAUGAGUGCUAAGUGUUGGGGGGUUUCCGCCCCUCAGUGCUGCAGCUAACGCAUUAAGCACUCCGCCUGGGGAGUACGGUCGCAAAGACUG